rnacentral:rRNA from 1 species
GACGAACGCUGGCGGCGUGCCUAAUACAUGCAAGUCGAACGCAGUGGGGACGGGUGAGUAACACGUGGGUAACCUCCCAUCAGAGGGGAUAACACUUGGAAACCGGUGCUAAACCGAUACUGAUGGAUGGACCCGCGGUGCAUGAGCUAGUUGGGGGGGUAACGGCUCACAAAGGCCACGAUGCCUAGCCGACCUGUGAGAGGGAUCGGCCACACUGGGACGACGCCACGUCCCAGACUCCUACGGGAGGCAGCAGUAGGUAAUCUUCUGCAAUGGACGAAAGUCUGACAGAGCAACGCCGCGUGAGUGAAGAAGGUUUUCGGAGCGUAAAACUCUGUUGUCUGAGAAGCGGUAUCUAACCAGAAAGCCACGGCUAACUACGUGCCAGCAGCCGCGGUAAUAC